ensembl:lncRNA
GUGCAGAGCCCUUUAAAGCUUGAGGUGGAACCGGGAUUUACCUCUUGGAAAACAGCAGCCGUCCACAAAGCCUGUUGUAUGCACAACAGUUCUCCCAACAAGUAGGGCUGAAAUCAAAAUAAAUCAUUUUCUCUCUCUUUUUUUUUUUCUUUAGAUUUCCUAGUAUGGACUGAGGCUCAGCAAACAUGCUGUGAUUCUCCCUGUUUGCUGCUUAGUGCCACUGUGCAGCCAGUGCAGGUCACAUGCCUUUGUUCCCUAUAUAGAGAGGGAUCUUGUACAAAUCUCAUGGUUGUUGCAGCGAAAGGCACAUCGGUGGUCUUUCUGCUAAGCAGCUCCCUUUGCUGAAAGGACUUUUUCCAAAGCAAGUGGUCUGGAUAGCAAGAUUACUGUGUGACUUUUCCGUGUACUGCAUACCAUAUUCUCUGGCAAACACAUUAUCAGAAAGAGGGGUCCUGUAGGAGAUGAAGAGAAAGGAAGGCUGAGACAAAACCUACAUCAUCCGGCCACAUCUGCAUUGGACCCAAGGCUGGGUGAACCACAUCUGUAUGGCUUCAGGCUGAAAACCGAAGACAUUUAAAAGGUCUCAACCAAGUGAGCCCACUAAACUGAUUUUGAGUUCAGGUGGAAGAGAGCUCAGACCUGUUCCAGCGUACCAGCAGCUCGAGCAGGUUACAAAACGUUGGUGCCUUUAAGCGUGGAUUUUAAUGGCUUUUAACUUCCUCCUCAACCAGGCAAUGAUUGCCAUGAGUGGAAAGACAUCCCUGUGGAGAUUACUGAGAUGUGUUUGGAGCACGCCUUCAUGCCCAUGCAGUUUCGACAGAGCCUAUCACCAUGCAUGGGCUGAGGGAUGCAGUGAGGAGCUCUGGGCUACGACCAGCCGGGCUUUUCUUAGAUGAAACAAGCAUCCAACAUCAGGCAGGCAAACCCAGCUCCAUCCAAAAAAACCCAGCACUGCAUGGAACAAGGUGGUGGAUGUGCAGGCAGCAGGAUUACCAGCGUCAUCCUGCCAGCUGGGGCUGCAAGGAGCGUGUGCCAGGAAGGAGGCCAAGGUUUCACAUUCCCUUAUGUCUAAAAGUCUUUACCAAGCACAAUGGUAUCUGGAGAAACCUCUCAUAGAAAGGCUGAAGAUGUCCUGACAGCAUUUCCUUGCCUUUGGGAGUUCGUGAAAGUACUCCAAAACGCUUCUUACUGCCCUGACUCAAUAUUCCUGUUUUUGCUGUGGCAGCACUCACCUUCUCCACAUUCACCCAAACCCACGGAUGUCUGCGUUUUUUGGCCUUUUAUAAGGAACUCAAAACUUGACGCUGUUGGC